GUCCGAUUAGCUAGUUGGCGGGGUAAAGGCCCACCAAGGCGACGAUCGGUAGCUGGUCUGAGAGGAUGAUCAGCCACACUGGAACUGAGACACGGUCCAGACUCCUACGGGAGGCAGCAGUGGGGAAUAUUGGACAAUGGGCGCAAGCCUGAUCCAGCCAUGCCGCGUGGGUGAAGAAGGCCUUCGGGUUGUAAAGCCCUUUUGUUGGGAAAGAAAAGCAAUCGGUUAAUACCCGGUUGUUCUGACGGUACCCAAAGAAUAAGCACCGGCUAACUUCGUGCCAGCAGCCGCGGUAAUACGAAGGGUGCAAGCGUUACUCGGAAUUACUGGGCGUAAAGCGUGCGUAGGUGGUGAUUUAAGUCCGUUGUGAAAGCCCUGGGCUCAACC
rnacentral:rRNA from 1 species